UACGAAGGGGGCUAGCGUUGCUCGGAAUCACUGGGCGUAAAGGGUGCGUAGGCGGGUCUUUAAGUCAGGGGUGAAAUCCUGGAGCUCAACUCCAGAACUGCCUUUGAUACUGAGGAUCUUGAGUUCGGGAGAGGUGAGUGGAACUGCGAGUGUAGAGGUGAAAUUCGUAGAUAUUCGCAAGAACACCAGUGGCGAAGGCGGCUCACUGGCCCGAUACUGACGCUCAGGCGCGACAGCGUGGGGAUCGAAACAGG
rnacentral:rRNA from 1 species